rnacentral:rRNA from 1 species
GACGAACGCUGGCGGCGUGCCUAACACAUGCAAGUCGAACGAAGUGGCGAACGGGUGAGUAACGCGUAAACAACCUGCCCUUCAGAGGGGGACAACAGGUGGAAACGACUGCUAAUACCGCAUACUGAAGGAGGGGAUUGCGUUUGAUUAGCUAGUUGGAGGGGUAACGGCCCACCAAGGCGAUGAUCAGUAGCCGUUCUGGGAGGAUGAACGGCCACAUUGGGACUGAGACACGGACCAGACUCCUACGGGAGGCAGCAGUGGGGAAUCUUCCGCAAUGGACGAAAGUCUGACGGAGCAACGCCGCGGUAAUAC